rfam:Gossypium arboreum cultivar AKA8401 contig_42337_3, whole genome shotgun sequence.
AACCUACGAUAUGGGCACUUCCUGAGCAUUGAUUUGAAAGGUUCACAUGCUUCGUAAAGGGAUUCACCUUCAUAUUGCUUAAAUUUCGCGAUGUCUUGCCUAAGCU